GCCGACGCAAGUCGGAUACGGCGAUAAAUGGGUGUCGGAAUAAGCCUUUCGGACCCGGGGGCGGUACCCGGCGCCUCCACCA
rnacentral:tmRNA from 1 species